UCAAAUUCAAAUCACUAAUUACUUUUCAAUCAAUAUACAUUUCACUACUCACAUAUUUCCAUCAUUCGAUUCAAUUUGAUUCAAUUCAAAUCACUAUUAUCACUUCAAUUGCUUACCUAAUUUUACUUACCAUGCAUUUAAUUAAAAUAUAACAAUUAAUAAUAACUAAAUUUGAAUUAUAGUAAUACAAACCCGAAUUUGCUCGAUUAUUCCUCAACGACCUUCUCCUUCCCUUUUUGUGCCGAUACCUCGAAUUCUUUAUUAGCUACGAAAAUUAAAUAAUUAAUUACAACACAAAUUUUACAAUAAAAAUAAAAUUUCUAUCAAAUUUUAUACUUUAAUUCCAAUUUAAUCCUAACUAGAUUUAUCUACUUUUCUAAUUUAAUUCACACUCUAUUUCUAUUCAAAUUUCUUCUAAACUCAAAUUUAUCUACUAAUUUUUUCAGCAUUUUUCACUAAUUUCGAAUUUUCCUCAAUUUAAUCCCUAAAAUUCAAAACUUAUAGUUUAGUUUACAAUUCAAUCCUUUAUUCAAUUCCAAAUAAAAUCUCUAUCAAAUAAAUCCUCAAUUCCAUCAUUUAUUCAACAUAAACCCUACUAAAAAAUCUAUUAACUUUCAAAAUUUCAACUUAAAUCCAAGAGUAUUUCACUCUAGGAUUCCAAAAACAUCAAAUUUAUGAGAAAAUGACUUGAUUUAGCUUACCUAUUAAGCUUCAAAAUCUCAAUUUUCCCCUUUCUUUUCUUUCCCUUUUUCUUCCCCUGUUUUCGUCUCUUUCUCUGUUUCUUUUCUGUUCUUCUUCUCUUUUUCUAUUCUUUUAUUUCAUUUGUUUUCUUUUACUUUUUGUUAUAAU
rnacentral:lncRNA from 1 species